rnacentral:rRNA from 1 species
UACGAAGGGGGCUAGCGUUGUUCGGAAUUACUGGGCGUAAAGCGUGCGCAGGCGGCUCAUCAAGUCAGAGGUGAAAGCCCAGGGCUCAACCCUGGAAUUGCCUUUGAAACUGGUGGGCUUGAGUGCGGGAGAGGUGAGUGGAAUUCCCAGUGUAGAGGUGAAAUUCGUAGAUAUUGGGAAGAACACCGGUGGCGAAGGCGGCUCACUGGUCCGAUACUGACGCUGAGGUGCGAAAGCGUGGGGAGCAAACAGG